GACGAACGCUGGCGGCGUGCUUAACACAUGCAAGUCGAACGGAAAGGCCCUUCGGGGUACUCGAGUGGCGAACGGGUGAGUAACACGUGGGUGAUCUGCCCUGCACUUUGGGAUAAGCCUGGGAAACUGGGUCUAAUACCGAAUAGGACCACGCGCUUCAUGGUGUGUGGUGGAAAGCUUUUGCGGUGUGGGAUGGGCCCGCGGCCUAUCAGCUUGUUGGUGGGGUAAUGGCCUACCAAGGCGACGACGGGUAGCCGGCCUGAGAGGGUGACCGGCCACACUGGGACUGAGAUACGGCCCAGACUCCUACGGGAGGCAGCAGUGGGGAAUGUUGCACAAUGGGCGCAAGCCUGAUGCAGCGACGCCGCGUGAGGGAUGACGGCCUUCGGGUUGUAAACCUCUUUCAAUAGGGACGAAGCGCAAGUGACGGUACCUAUAGAAGAAGCACCGGCCAACUACGUG
rnacentral:rRNA from 1 species